UGAUUUUUCAAAAUGGCGGAAGGUCAUGGAUUUUUUAACUCGUUCAAUAAUACAAAUUUCAGACCAGAGAACGUCGAUAUGAAUGCAAUAAAGCUAUUAAAUAAUGAAACUAACUUAACUUACGCUGGUAAUCGUAUAAAGUGGACAGGUGACCUUAAUUCAUUAAAGAAUUGUGUCGAAAAUGUUAUUGGUUUGACCGGGACUUGAAAAUCACCUGGUGGAAAUGCUAAGCAGUUUAAAAGUUCAACGUUUGAUUUUACCUUGACCUGGUACCCGAGAAAGCAGAACUCGAUAUUGCUUCAUGGAAAGGAUGGUGAGCUAUUCAAACAAAUUUUGGUAACAGUUUUAGAUACAGAUCAUAUAGUAAGACAAGCAGAUGCUAUCUUAGACAGUUUAUCAGUGAACAUAGCGGAGCCGCAAGGUACCAACUAUAAUACAAGCACUCCCGAACUAUUACAAACAUCAGCUAAAGAUUGUGCUUCUCAGACUAUAAUUCAUGAAACCCCUCAAUGUAAAAACUGUGGAAAUUUGAGGGCAGAAAUGUCUGAACUUUCUGAGAGACUGAAUUGCUUAUUCGAUCUAACGCAUAAAAUUUACAACCUACCAAAUAAAUCGCUAACUACUGACCCACUUCCAAACUCAGGGCAAAGUUUGAUAAACAAAAAAGACACUAACUCUGGGUAUUGCGAUCUUUCUGCUGACCUUGAGGGCGU